CCUACGGGGGGCAGCAGUGAGGAAUAUUGGUCAAUGGGCGUAUGCCUGAACCAGCCAAGUCGCGUGAGGGAUGAAGGUUCUAUGGAUCGUAAACCUCUUUUAUAAGGGAAUAAAGUGUGGGACGUGUCCUGUUUUGUAUGUACCUUAUGAAUAAGGAUCGGCUAACUCCGUGCCAGCAGCCGCGGUAAUCCGGAGGAUCCGAGCGUUAUCCGGAUUUAUUGGGUUUAAAGGGUGCGUAGGCGGCAUUUUAAGUCAGCGGUGAAAGUCUGUGGCUCAACCAUAGAAUUGCCGUUGAAACUGGGAGGCUUGAGUAUGUUUGAGGCAGGCGGAAUGCGUGGUGUAGCGGUGAAAUGCUUAGAUAUCACGCAGAACCCCGAUUGCGAAGGCAGCCUGCCAAGCCAUGACUGACGCUGAUGCACGAAAGCGUGGGGAUCAAACAGGAUUAGAUACCCGAGUAGUC
rnacentral:rRNA from 1 species